rnacentral:rRNA from 1 species
GACGAACGCUGGCGGCGUGCCUAAUACAUGCAAGUUGAGCGAUGAAGAUUGGUGCUUGCACCAAUUUGAAGAGCAGCGAACGGGUGAGUAACGCGUGGGGAAUCUGCCUUUGAGCGGGGGACAACAUUUGGAAACGAAUGCUAAUACCGCAUAACAACUUUAAACAUAAGUUUUAAGUUUGAAAGAUGCAAUUGCAUCACUCAAAGAUGAUCCCGCGUUGUAUUAGCUAGUUGGUGAGGUAAAGGCUCACCAAGGCGAUGAUACAUAGCCGACCUGAGAGGGUGAUAGGCCACAUUGGGACGGAGACACGGCCCAAACUCCUACGGGAGGCAGCAGUAGGGAAUCUUCGGCAAUGGACGAAAGUCUGACCGAGCAACGCCGCGUGAGUGAAGAAGGUUGUCGGAUCGUAAAACUCUGUUGGUAGAGAAGAACGUUGGUGAGAGUGGAAAGCUCAUCAAGUGACGGUAACUACCCAGAAAGGGACGGCUAACUACGUG